UUGACCUCGAAUCAGGUAGGACUACCCGCUGAACUUAAGCAUAUCAAUAAGCGGAGGAAAAGAAACCAACAGGGAUUGCCCUAGUAACGGCGAGUGAAGCGGCAACAGCUCAAAUUUGAAAUCUGGCCCUCGGGUCCGAGUUGUAAUUUGUAGAGGAUGCUUUUGGUGCGGUGCCUUCCGAGUUCCCUGGAACGGGACGCCAUAGAGGGUGAGAGCCCCGUCUGGUUGGACGCCAAUCCUCUGUAAAGCUCCUUCGACGAGUCGAGUAGUUUGGGGAAUGCUGCUCUAAAUGGGGAGGGUAUAUGUCUUCUAAAGCUAAAUACCCGGCCCAGGAGACCCGAAUAG
rnacentral:rRNA from 1 species